GUGGGUGAAGAAGGCCUUCGGGUUGUAAAGCCCUUUUGUUGGGAAAGAAAUCCAGCUGGUUAAUACCCGGUUGGAAUGACCGUACCCAAAGAAUAAGCACCGGCUAACUUCGUGCCAGCAGCCGCGGUAAUACGAAGGGUGCAAGCGUUACUCGGAAUUACUGGGCGUAAAGCGUGCGUAGGUGGUCCUUUAAGUCUGUUGUGAAAGCCCUGGGCUCAACCUGGGAACUGCAGUGGAAACUGGACGACUAGAGUGUGGUAGAGGGUAGCGGAAUUCCUGGUGUAGCAGUGAAAUGCGUAGAGAUCAGGAGGAACAUCCAUGGCGAANGCAGCUUCCUGGACCAACACUGACACUGAGGCACGAAUGCGUGGGGAGCAAACAGGAUUAGAUACCCUGGUAGUCCACGCCCUAAACGAUGCGAACUGGAUGUUGGGUGCAAUUUGGCACGCAGUAUCGAAGCUAACGCGUUAACUUCGCCGCCUGGGGAGUACGGUCGCAGGACUGAAACUCA
rnacentral:rRNA from 1 species